UCUGCUUCUGUGACCUGUGUUUAGUUUACUAUGAGAUGUUUCUCCUUGGAAUCAAGCUGUAAUCUGUCUGGUUGUUGUUUCAGAAUUUGAGUCCAACAAAGACUGCAGAACAGUCCAGCUCUUCAAGUAUCUUCCACAAACAAUAUGGUGUCUAAAUUUAGCAAAGACUGGGCCACACACAGAGCUAGAGGAACCUCUGAGGCGUUAUUGUUCAAUUUUCAUUUGAUACGUUUUAUCUUCUCAAGGGAGGGAAGGAUGAGAUUCACAGGCGGAAAUGUCCAGCGAAUGCAGUCACUCUUCCUUGGGAGAUAUUCUAGGCAUGUCCCACUGAGACAAGACCCCAGGGAUAACCCAGGAUGUGGUGAAGAGACUGGGUCUCAUGGUUGGCCCUUAGAUCAACGUGGAUUUCUCUCAGCAGAACUGGAGGAGGUUUCUGUGAAGAGGGUGGUCCAGAUGAGCAGAGGAAGAUGGAUGGGAUGUCAGAAUAUUCUCCCACCCUCCAAUGAUGAAGAUGCUCCAAAGGUUCUGAAUAGGGUUGAUGUCAGGGGAGGAUGGGGGCCACACCAUCAGUUUAUCUCCUUUUCUGUCCAUAGCAGCCAAUGAUGCAGAGAAGAAGGUGGUCAGUCAGAAACUCCACCUACUUUUCAGAGGACAUGACUCUACCACCUCCAUGCUGAUGUCACAGCCUUGUUGGGACGUGGUGGCCAAAAUCCACCAACCAUCCAUUGGAUUAUCUGGAUCAUCCAGGGUUUCAUGGCACUCAUCAGUGGACUGUUUGAAAAUGAGUCUUCAUGCAUGUCUGGGUCCACUGCAGCCGUUUCUGUUUGGGACUGUUGUUUAGGGGUUAGAAGGUUUAGGUAGAACUGCAGUCCUCUGGAGGAUCCUCCACCUUGAUGUUGGUGGGACUCCAGAGACUCCAGCAGCUUCAAACAUGUGCUUGCUGCUUUGUAAUGCUAUUUCAGCAGCUGCUCUCUCAAUCUGAUGGAUCUGUCUGGUAGAAACCUUCCUCAUUCUGUCUUUAUCUGCACCAACCCGUGUGUCUCUGAAUCAGCCACAAAUCUCUUCAUAGUACGAUAAUCACGCUGAAGUUUCAGUCAAAUAUCAAAGGUUUUUAUACCUUGUUUAAGGCAUUUAACUACUUCAUGCUUUUCAGCAGCAGAGAUCCUUUUUCUUUCCCAUAUUACUUGAAAAUAUUGGUCUGUUUACUAAUGUGGAACAUCCUUCUUUAGUAGUUUUUAUUUUAAUUGAACUCACCUGUCAAACUAAUAAUUAAAGAUGUCUGAGAUUAAUGUCAGUGACCCAAAGACACCAGAGACACAAUAUCAUCCAUGAGUUUAAUUGAAAAACUGAAAAUGAUUUAAUCUUUUUGAUAUUUAAAUCCAAUUUGCAUAAUAAUUUGAAACACAGUAUAUUUGUGUAAACCUCUUUUGCAUUUGAGACUAAACUUUAUUCAUGUUAAUUAUGUUUGUAUACAUUUCUUGUUGCCUUGAACGGAAUAAAGGAGUGAGUAGGAUGUUAGGAAUUGGUUACAAAAUUAAAGGGGGGUAAGGAAGUUCAAAGAUGAAUAAAAAGUAGGAGGGGUAGAAACACAAUUAUUAUAACUGUCAGGUGUAGCUAUUAUUCCAAAGGGCGGGGACUGUCCAAAGUCACUCAAACAUCAUGUUACCAUGUACAAUAUAGCUGACAAGCAUAUUCUUAUGCAUACAAAAAAACACAUGUAAAGCAUAAAUCAUUUUCUCCACUCAUUGGCUCGCUCCCUGGGACAGAUAAUAAGCGGCCCCACCUUUCUUGAGCACACUUUAAAGGGCUCACAGUUUGGAUGCCUAUAAGAUGAGGUGAUUUCACAAUGACUUGAUGAACUGGGGUUGACUUACUCAGCAAGUGACCAACUGGUCAAGUACCAUCCAGUUAAUGAAGGCAGCCAGAGAGUAGAGGGUUCAGGUGAGGAUGCUGGUGCAGCACAACACAAAAUUAACCCCAGCAGAUCACUAGUUUGUAAGUACUGAGGAUGAACCCCACAAUAUCAAAGUGGAAAGACAGCCAAUUAUCCCUUUACCACAGCAGAGGAAGAUUCCCACUGUGGAAAACAUGCUGCAGUGGUGGGGGUUGACUCCUUUGUUUGGCUAAGUCAGAGAGUUUUCUUUCUCCUCUGCUGAAAAGGCUGUUACACCACAGCACCACGCCUUUGGCAGCUCUCAUUUUAUUUCAUGUAAACUUGUAUCCUAAAGCAACUCCUUCUGAGCAAGACUAAAAGUAGACCAACAGGAUAUAGCGAGUUUCUGUAUAUUUCCCAGCAUGAUGCUUGAGGUUUUAUUGAUGACAGGGUUUAAACUCUACAAGAGUCUAAGUUGCUGUUUGUUUGCUCUGUUGUAGAAAGCACCAGGUGUUGCAAUCCGUAACAUUUACCACUUUAACUUCAGGAGCUCUUGAGGUUCUCAGACUUCCAUUAUUUUUUGUCUGCGAGACACAUAAUCAGUUGUGUAACUCAACAUCUUGGGGUGUUUCGGCCAUUUAUCACUAUACACCCUCCGCUGAGGUAGGCCCAUCACAGGUUGAUCAAGCCUGGGUGUGUGUCUCGCUGUUAGUUGGUCAUUUUUGUCCAUGUAAUGUCACUUCUACUCAGCCAUGGCCAAUGGCUCGUCCUCUCAGCCGUGUUGGUCAGUUCUUUGAUAGCCUGUCUGUGUGCCCGUCCUCUGGGUCCAACUUCUCUGAGGAGCUAAGCAGUUGUCCUGGUGACAAAGCUCCUGCAUCCCACCUCCACUGGGCACACCCUGGUAUUACAGCCUCUGUCCUCUGCCUCAGCUGCUAAGUUGGAACAGCGUAGUUUCUUUCGCUCGUAAGCUUCGUCAAAGGAGUCCUCCCAGGGAACUGUCAGCUCUAUGAUGUAGGCAAGUCACCACAAAUUAGACCAGAGGACAAAGUCUGGAUGCAAAGUGGUUGCUGCAAUCUCCGAAGGGAAGAUAAGCCUCUGGUUUAAGUCGACUCGCAUUUGCCAGUCCCUGGCUGCAUUCAGAGGGGUUAGUUCAGAGUGGGAGGGAUUACCGGACUCCUUGGCUUCUCCCAUUCCCGGACAAAUGGUGGUGGCUGCUGAUGGGUUGGGCAUUGAUAAACACCUUCUUGCACUCAAGUGUAAUGGCAAGACAUCUCAAGACCUGGUUGUGUCUCCAUGUAUAUCUGCCUUGCGUGAGGCUGGUCCAGCCAAUAAGAUGUGCUUUAAUGUUGCAGUUGCAGAAGGAUCUUUCCCAAGCCAAAGCUGCAGGUUUGUGGGAGAGGGCAGCACAGCGUAGGUGACUUGAACAUUGUUGCUCAGCCUAUUUGAUUCCAUGCUCCAAAGUUUGCUCCAUGUAAGUUUCCUCCUUUCAACUCCCUCCCACCUUACCCAUCGGCCCUGUUUUGCUUGCGUGACGGCUUUGGAGCAUCUGCCUACUUCUUUUAGUUGGUGCACCUCCUCUAUCACCAUGGUUCGACGUUCUGCAGCAUUGCUACAGCAAGGGUCCACUUCUUCCCGGUUGCUAGGACUGGAACUGCACUUCUCAUUACUGGUCCUCGGGAGUCGGAGAGUGACGUGUCAAGCCUCACCUUGGUGCAUUUAAAUUCCUCAACCAGGCUAGAGACUGGUUGUUACAAGACUCAAUCAUUGUAAUGUGUCUAAAACAAGUGAGCAUAACACCUCACCUCAUGGCAAAAAGGCCUUGGUUUGAAUCCCUGGAGUAAGCAUGUUCUCCUUGUGUAUGUAAUUUUUCGCACUCCGUUUUUAUGUUACGAUUCUUAACUGUCUGUUAGUGGUGAGUGUGGAUGUGAGAGUGUGUUUGUGUGGUUGUGUAUCUUUUGUGUGGCCCUGCAAUGAACUGUCCAGGGUGUACCUGUCUUGGCCCAACAAUAGGGUAUGCCUCUAUGACCCUGAACGAACCAAGUGAGUUUAGAAAAUGAAUAAAUUGAUCUACUGGGUCAUUGACCUGGGAUGCAAACAUGAGUUUUCAUUAAAAUACAUUGUUUCCCUUGUGCCAGUCCUACACACAGCCAACAGAACCAUCCAACCGCUAGUGGUGCAAGAAAAAAUGGUGAGCAAUAUUGUAGCUAUCCAGAUGUA